GAUGAACGCUAGCGGCAGGCCUAAUACAUGCAAGUCAAGGGGCCCAGCAAUGGGCACCGGCGGACGGGUGCGUAACGCGUACACAACAUACCUUUAAGUGGGGGAUAGCAUUGGGAAACUGAUGGUAAUACCCCAUAAUAAUUCAGGGAGGCAUUUCCUUGGAUUUAAAGCUCCGGCGCUUAGAGAUUGGAGCGGCCGAUGUCAGAUUAGGUAGUUGGUGGGGUAAAGGCCCACCAAGCCAACGAUCUGUAGCUGGUCUGAGAGGACGACCAGCCACACUGGGACUGAGACACGGCCCAGACUCCUACGGGAGGCAGCAGUGGGGAAUUUUGGACAAUGGGGGCAACCCUGAUCCAGCAAUGCCGCGUGAGUGAAGAAGGCCUUCGGGUUGUAAAGCUCUUUUGUCAGGGAAGAAACAGCAGCUCUAACACAGUCUGCGAAUGACGGUACCUGAAGAAUAAGCACCGGCUAACUACGUG
rnacentral:rRNA from 1 species